UACGUAGGGUCCGAGCGUUGUCCGGAAUUACUGGGCGUAAAGCGCUCGUAGGUGGUUUGUCGCGUCGUUCGUGAAAACUCACAGCUUAACUGUGGGCGUGCGGGCGAUACGGGCAGACUCGAGUACUGCAGGGGAGACUGGAAUUCCUGGUGUAGCGGUGGAAUGCGCAGAUAUCAGGAGGAACACCGGUGGCGAAGGCGGGUCUCUGGGCAGUAACUGACGCUGAGGAGCGAAAGCGUGGGGAGCGAACAGG
rnacentral:rRNA from 1 species